rnacentral:rRNA from 1 species
AGUGAACGCUGGCGGUAGGCCUAACACAUGCAAGUCGAACGGCAGCACAGUAAGAUCUUGCUCUUACGGGUGGCGAGUGGCGGACGGGUGAGGAAUACAUCGGAAUCUACUUUUUCGUGGGGGAUAACGUAGGGAAACUUACGCUAAUACCGCAUACGACCUACGGGUGAAAGCAGGGGAUCUUCGGACCUUGCGCGAUUGAAUGAGCCGAUGUCGGAUUAGCUAGUUGGCGGGGUAAAGGCCCACCAAGGCGACGAUCCGUAGCUGGUCUGAGAGGAUGAUCGGCCACACUGGAACUGAGACACGGUCCAGACUCCUACGGGAGGCAGCAGUGGGGAAUAUUGGACAAUGGGCGCAAGCCUGAUCCAGCAAUACCGCGUGGGUGAAGAAGGCCUUCGGGUUGUAAAGCCCUUUUGUUGGGAAAGAAAAGCAGCAGGUUAAUACCCCGCUGUUCUGACGGUACCCAAAGAAUAAGCACCGGCUAACUUCGUG